rnacentral:tRNA from 1 species
UACAGUAGUCUAGGCGGUUAGGAUAUAUGGCUUUCACCCAUACGACCCGGGUUCGAGUCCCGGUUAGGGAA